rnacentral:rRNA from 1 species
GACGAACGCUGGCGGCGUGCUUAACACAUGCAAGUCGAACGGAAAGGCCCUGCUUUUGUGGGGUGCUCGAGUGGCGAACGGGUGAGUAACACGAGAGUAACCUGCCCUUGACUUUGGUAUAACUUCAGGAAACUGGGGCUAAUACCGGAUAGGAGCUCCUGCUGCAUGGUGGGGGUUGGACAGUUUCGGCGGUUGGGUAUGGACUCGCGGCUUAUCAGCUUGUUGGUGGGGUAGUGGCUUACGAAGGCUUUGACGGGUAGCCGGCCUGAGAGGGUGAGCGGCCGCAUUGGGACUGAGAUACGGCGCAGACUCCUACGGGAGGCAGCAGUGGGGAAUAGUGCACUAUGGGCGGAAGCCUGAUGCAGCAACGCCGCGUGCGGGAUGACGGCCUUCGGGUUGUAAACCGCUUUCGCCUGUGACGAAGCGUGAGUGACGGUAAUGGGUAAAGAAGCACCGGCUAACUACGUG